ACCGGUGCGAAAGGCGGUUCUCUGGGACUUUCCUGACGCUGAGAAGCGAAAGCGUGGGGAGCAAACGGGCUUAGAUACCCUGGUAGUCCACGCCGUAAACGGUGGGUACUAGGUGUGGGUCACAUUCCACGUGAUCCGUGCCGCAGCUAACGCAUUAAGUACCCCGCUUGGGGAGUACGGCCGCAAGGCUAAAACUCAAAGGAAUUGACGGGGCCCCGCACAAGCGGCGGAGCAUGCGGAUUAAUUCGAUGCAACGCGAAGAACCUUACCUGGGUUUGACAUAUGCCGGAAACAUUCAGAGAUGGAUGCCCCUUUUUGGUCGGUAUACAGGUGGUGCAUGGCUGUCGUCAGCUCGUGUCGUGAGAUGUUGGGUUAAGUCCCGCAACGAGCGCAACCCUCGUCCAAUGUUGCCAGCACGUAAUGGUGGGGACUCAUUGGAGACCGCCGGGGUCAACUCGGAGGAAGGUGGGGAUGACGUCAAGUCAUCAUGCCCCUUAUGUCCAGGGCUUCACGCAUGCUACAAUGGCCGGUACAAAGGGCUGCGAACCUGCAAGGGUGAGCGAAUCCCAAAAAGCCGGUCUCAGUUCGGAUUGGGGUCUGCAACUCGACCCCAUGAAGUCGGAGUCGCUAGUAAUCGCAGAUCAGCAACGCUGCGGUGAAUACGUUCCCGGGGCUUGUACACACCGCCCGUCAAGUCAUGAAAGUCGGUAACACCCGAAGCCAGUGGCCCAACCGUAGGAGGGAGCUUUCACCGC
rnacentral:rRNA from 1 species